UGCUUCAGAGCCAUAGGAGUGAAGUGACAGCCUCAUUAUUAAUGAAGAUGACUUUUGGGCUCCACCCAAGGGCAGAGGCUGGUGGCCGGCAGGAUCAACCCUGUGAUUAGAGGGUUGGAAAUUUUAGUCCCACCCCCUGACCUCUGCAGAGGGGAGAGGGGCCGACGGUUGAAUCAGCCAGUAGCUGGUGACUGAGUCAUUCAUGACUAUGUAAUAAAGCCUCUGUAAAAAUCCAAGAGCCCAGCUUCUGGUCCUGUUAUGGCGACUUUGCACGUUUGGGAAACCUCAACACCCCACGUGCCACUAAACUGCGCCCAGACUCCACGAAGACAGAGGCUCCUUUGUUGAGUAACUUGGACCUAUGUAGCUCUUCAUGUGGCUGCUGAUUCGUGUCCUUCAAAAACCUGGAUCCAGUCCAGAAUACCACAUUACAUUCAGCUGACAUGUGUCUCCAACUUCCUCUGCUCUCUGUCUGAUUCUCAGUCUCCUAGAAUUUUAUGAACUUGACAGAUUUUAUUUUUUUAAGCAAUCUCUUCACCCAACAUGGGGCUUGAACUCACAACUCUGAGAUCAACAGUCACAGGCUCUUCUGACUGAGCCAGCCAGGCGCCCCCAUGUGUUUAACUUUUUAAGGAAAAGCAUAGCAGCUGCACCAUUUUGCCUUUGUUCUGGGAAUACCCAAGAGUUACAACUUCUUCAUAUCCUCACCAAUGCUUGGUAUUUCUUGUUUUUGUUUGUUUGUGUUUUUUUUUGUCUCUAUGUAAUCAUCAUCCUAAUGGGUGUGAAGUGGUGUACCAUUGAGGUUUUGAUUUUCAUUUCUGUAAUGAUUAGUGAUGUUGAAUAUUUUUUAAUGUGUUGUUUAAUGAUGUUGACCAUCAUUUGUGUCUCUUUUUCGGAGAAAUGUGUGCUCAAGUCCUACGACUCUUUUUCAAUUGGGCUUGUUGUUGAAUUGUAAGAGUUCUUUAUGUAUUCUGGCUAUUAACUCUUCAUCAGAUACCUGAUCUGCAAAUAUUUUCUUCCAUUCUUUGGGUUGCCUUUGUACUCGUUUAAUAACGUACUAGGAUGCACAAAAGCUUUUACUUUUGAUACAGUGUAUUUUAUCUGUUUGUCUUUUUCUUUUGCUGC